UACGUAGGGUGCAAGCGUUGUCCGGAAUUAUUGGGCGUAAAGAGCUCGUAGGCGGUCUGUUGCGUCGGCUGUGAAAACCCGGGGCUCAACCCCGGGCCUGCAGCCGAUACGGGCAGGCUAGAGUUCGGCAGGGGAGACUGGAAUUCCUGGUGUAGCGGUGAAAUGCGCAGAUAUCAGGAGGAACACCGGUGGCGAAGGCGGGUCUCUGGGCCGAUACUGACGCUGAUGGACGAAAGCGUGGGUAGCGAACAGG
rnacentral:rRNA from 1 species